rnacentral:rRNA from 1 species
UACGAAGGGGGCUAGCGUUGCUCGGAAUUACUGGGCGUAAAGGGCGCGUAGGCGGGUCGUUUAGUUAGAGGUGAAAGCCCAGGGCUCAACCCUGGAAUAGCCUUUAAUACUGGCGGCCUUGAGUAUGGCAGAGGUGUGUGGAACUCCGAGUGUAGAGGUGAAGUUCGUAGAUAUUCGGAAGAACACCAGUGGCGAAGGCGACACACUGGGCGAUUACUGAGGCUGAGGCGCGAAAGCGUGGGGAGAAAACAGG